CUGUGUUUGCCUUGGCCGGUUGCUGUGUUUGCAUCUCAAAAUGCAGUGGUCACAGUUAGAGAGUUAAUGAGGCAAUAGAUGCUCUUCUGGGUAAUUCAACUCUCAGUGAAGGUGAAGCAUCAGCUCAGGCUGUCUACAACCUCGUUUGUCUGGAGGGAAUGCUAGUGGGCCACCUGCUCCCGUGAGUGUUCUACUAUCCUGGGGGAAUUUGUGGUCCCUUCACCUGGGCAGCGACGCGUGUCUCCAAGAGCAUUUGCCCGAACCUUCUGCAUGCAGCUGUCUGUCUCAGGGUCUGUCUGGGGACCCUGACUUCAGACACGCCGAGGAAACACAUGCUGCAUCAUCAGCCUGGGUACCAGCACCCUCCGUGGGGAGCAAGCUUUAACUACCUAGUGAUGCAUUCAGUUCACCUUCUUACAUAAUCCAGUGUUCUGUUCUAUUUGCAUGGAAUACAAAAGAAGACCAACAGGUAAUGUUUACAUAAAACAUUAAAGUUGCUUAAAGAGGCUCCCAUGAAAACACAUCCUGCAGAGGUUUCUCCACACCAGUCCUCAUUAAAGCGUUCAUGUUUACCAAGCGUGAUCAUCCAAAAGCGUUUCUGUACCUAAUUUAGCUUUCUAAUCUCCCUCUUUUAAAAAUAUUGCUGACUCACAGUGAACAAAGCUCUUGGACAGCACAAUAGGACUGUUGAGGGCACUAUCUUGGCCCCCAGAACCUCUGGGCAGUUGAGGAACCCCACCUUCUUAUUGAGAGCCAGAGUCCAUGGACAGUUUUGAUUAGAACCUGGCAUUGCUUUCUGAGAAAACAGAAGAAUGAAACUUGGAUCUGCUUGCAUUUUUUAGUGUCUUGAGAUUUCUGCCUCCUUGCUAUCAAUAAUAGCACCCCACCCUCUUUCAAAAGUACUGCUGACUCACGGUGAACAAAGAUUUUUAGAGCAGUAUAGAGGGAUGGAAGCACAGCCCUGGAUGGCUGCACAGACUCUGAGCCAAUAGGCUCCCUCUUUUGGUCCCACUGGAUGGAAAGGAGCUCCCAAAAUUAGGGCUGUUACUUAAAAAAUUAUUCUAUUUCUUGCAUCUCUCUUCCACUGUUUCCAUGACCAGUAUGUGUUUUCCUAGGAGGGAGGAGUGGGGCCACUGACCAAGGGUCUCUUGGUGCACUUAGGUUUUUAAGAUUUAUCAUAAGGUGUGUCUGUACUUGGUGUAGAAACCAGAUGAGAUAAAGGCAAUUAACAAAUUGCAGUCCUAGAAGUAGCAAAUAUUACCCCGAAAAUGGCAGGAGGGAGGGGUACAUUGCCUGUAAAUAAUGUAUUUAGAUAAUUGAGGGUCAGAAAGCGUAGAUCUUUCAUCUUCCCUCCCUCCCUCAGCUGCCCACAGAGGCAGAGACCUAUGGCCAUAGUAAGGGUUGUUUAGGGAGAGCAGAUUAGAAAUUGUGUAUGCCUCUGUGUGUGUGUGUGUGUGUGUGUGUGUGUGUGU
ensembl:lncRNA